rnacentral:tRNA from 1 species
GGAUAUUUAGUCUAAAUAAAGACCACUAAUUUCGACUUAGUAAAUUAUGGUAAAAAUCCAUAAAUAUCCU